UAUUGAUCUGUCUUACAGUCCAUCUCCGUCUCUCCCAAUCCUUGUACCAGUGUCUGAUUUACAGAUGACGCUGGACGGGGUUUGGGGGGGGCUGAGGGAGGACAAAUGCCUCUGAUUUCCC
rnacentral:precursor_RNA from 8 species